AGAAGUUGAUCGUAAAGAUUUGGUUGAUUCCAUCUAUCAAACAGGUAGCCCUUUCAAAGUAUCAGUGAUGUCAAAGUGUCUGGGACAAGCUUGGAGAUUGUGUCAACUCCUCAGACCUUCACCAUAAACUGUAGCAAGGCUGGAGAAGUACUAGCAUAUGUGGCUGUUAUGACACCAAGUGGUGGGUACAAAUUAUAUCAAGAUACUCCUCUAUUUCAAAUAUACAGACAUUUUGGUUGUUGCUUGAUUUACCAGGUAAGAUAUAACUUUGAGGUGACAGACAAUGGUGAUGGGACAUAUUCAGUGGCCUACUUCCCUUCUAUGGUGGGUCCUCACUUGGAUGGUCAAAUAUGCCAAUGAAGAGGCAUUCUCUAGGUGAGAUCAAUUUUUUUUCAGAUAGGAAAUGUUUAGUGUGUACAUUUUUUAAAUAUAGUUAUGAUGUACAUAUGCAGGAUCCUAGUCUGACCAUAUUUUUGCAAGAGGUUGGUACUUUUCUGUUAAGACAAAUCAAGACUGACUUUUGUAAAGUGGAAAUUACAAACUUUAGAAGCCCUUUACACCUUGAGUACAGAGGACAUUUGCUGCAACAGGGUGAUCAAAUUUUAUGAUCUUAUAUCCGUAUGUGAAACAUGAUUUUUACAAACCAUAUUGCAUUUAAUUUCUGUCAUUUCUUCUAUUGCAGUCCAGUUGUGUUCCAAGUGUUGCCUACUAAUGAUGCCAACAAGUUGCAGGUGUCUGGAUCAGGCUUGGAGUCAGGAAUUUGUGCCCACAUUCCUCAGACCUUCACCAUUGACUGUAGCAAGACUGGAGAGGCCCCAAAAUCUGUGGCUGUCAUGACACCUAGUGGUAAUAUAGAGCUUGCAAAGGUGACAAAGAAUGGAUGGGACAUACUUAGUGUGCUUACUCCCCUUCCAUGGAUUCUCUGGUGGCCAGUCUCUAAAACUUCCAAGUUUGUGUGGGCCAGGCUUGCAGUCAGGAAUUUGUGCAAUGUUCCCUCUGAUAUUCACAAUUGACUGGAGAGACCCCAGUCUGACUGUUAUAACACCUAGUGGUAAAAUGGAGCUUAUGGAGAUGAAACUUACUCAGUGGCAUACUUCCCUUCCAUGAAGGAUCCUCACUGGUUGUCAAAUAUGGUGACGAAGAUGAGUUCUGCAGGUAAGAUAUGGAACAGUUAGAUUAAAUGUAAAUGCACUUUUGUGUGCCUUUUUGACCAGUACGUUUCAGUUCCUUGUCUUGUGCUCUUAUGAUGCCAGUAAAGUGAGAGCCAGAGGUCUGGGCCUGGUAUCUGGGUUACCUGCCAGCCUAUCUUAACAAUUCACCAUAGGUGCUAGGAUGUAGGAGAGGGCCAUUAAUCAGUGAAGAUUACUGUGUUAUAAAUUAUGAUUUACGUAACAGCCAUAUAAUAAGCUUGAACCCCUUGUGGAGUCCAGUCUAAAGUUUUAUCACCAGCACAUUUUACUUCGCAUCACAUGUUUUCAAGUGUAGUUUCAUGUUAACGCAUGUUGCUUUACUUGUUAUUGCAUUAACUUCAAAUAAGAUCACAUGAAAACAUGUGUUUUUGGAACACUUCACAUGUGAAAUUAAUAUUUUUUCACAAGGAUCUUCAUAGCAAAAAUGAAUGGCUAUUAUAAUGAGUUAUAUUAAUCUCAUCAACACAGUAUUUAUAUUCCAUAAAUUUAAGUGACACUGGCUCAAUCUGUGCAUGGUGUACUGUGGGUCACCUAUAGCCCAGAUCUACUGCCAAACAUACAGCUGGACAGACGGCAAGAAAGCAACUUGCUCUAAUAGUGUAAGUUACCUAGUAGUGAAAUGCUAACUAGAUUAUUCGUGAAGGGGAAAGCUAAUUUCAUAUUAUGCAAAUUAAAGUUGAUACUACUCAUGACCAGUCAGUCUCCAAACAAAAAAAGCUGUUCUGCUUCUGUCCUGAACCUAGUCCACAGAAAUCCACCAUCCAUGGAGGUAAGCCUGCUCGACCAAGCUACCUUGUAGUUGUAGAAAUAGCUAGCAUUGGUCAGUUGAUCCACUCAUCGU